UACGUAGGGCGCAAGCGUUAUCCGGAAUUAUUGGGCGUAAAGAGCUCGUAGGCGGUUUGUCGCGUCGAAUGUGAAAACCCGGGGCUCAACCCCGGGCCUGCAUUCGAUACGGGCAGACUAGAGUUCGGUAGGGGAGUCUGGAAUUCCUGGUGUAGCGGUGAAAUGCGCAGAUAUCAGGAGGAACACCGGUGGCGAAGGCGGGUCUCUGGGCCGAUAUCGACGCUGAGGAGCGAAAGCGUGGGGAGCGAACAGG
rnacentral:rRNA from 1 species